CUUCAAACAGGUUGCUCUGGAGUUCAUAAGACUGGUGUCUGUGGACCUCAAGAAGACAUUUUAUGAAGGCCUGGACUGUCAUCUGUCCAAGCUCCUUGAAUUCUACCGGGCCAAGAGUGGUAGAGGGAUGGAGCUAAAACACCUUAUGGACAGUCUUGACAAAGACUUCCAAUCAAAGGAAGAGAAACGCAGUGCUCCGAGGCUUGCCAUACUUGCUGCGAGAAGACCCUACCAAUGUUUUAAAGACGUGAGAAGUCAACAAAUGAGAGCACCUGGAGAAUGGGAGUGGAGCUAGGCACUGCAGGGCCAGGAUUAACCUCUACAUCACCAGAGGAACAGAGGAGGAGUAGGAUAAGGGUACGGAUAAAGGCUAGAAGAAAUGGUCGUCUAGUGCGUUUGGAACAGAGAGUAAAAGAGCAGGUUUCUGGGCAUGGAAGAAUAGAUUCAAGGUAGGAUGUGAAUACAGUGGAGGUAAACCUAGGCAUUGAGUGACGAUGAGAG
rnacentral:lncRNA from 1 species